GGAGUUAGCUCAGCUGGGAGAGCGCUUGCAUGGCAUGCAAGAGGUCAGCGGUUCGAUCCCGCUAGGGUCCA
rnacentral:tRNA from 1 species